GCCCAUAUGGCGGAACUGGCAUACGCGUUAGAUUUAGGAUCUAAUUUUUUUGAGUUCGAAUCUCAAUAUGGGCA
rnacentral:tRNA from 1 species